AUAUUCUCACGUCGUACGCGUAGCGAGUGACCAACAAACCUUGCGGCGAAGUAAUCGAACAACAGAACGACCGAACUACGUUUCAUGUGAAUCUCGUUACGUGUGAUUUGAAUCAUAAUCGCGUGAAUUGAGGAUUAUUUUUUAUUUUCUCACCCGAGAUCACGAUCGAUCCAAGAUCUGCGCUUCAAGUUUUUCAUCCAAAUCUUUAGGAAUCCGUGACACGAGUGAUUUAAAAAGAUGAAAAUAAAAUUAUCGGUCAACCCGAUCAAUCUGGUGUCCGAUUGUGAUUCUUGUGAGCGUGAGUGAUCCAUCGAAUAUACAUCGAAGUAAAUAUUUUCACGCACGUGCAGAUUAACGAUGAACUCUGGAUACACGAAUUGUUUGAAAAAAGGGACUCGCAUUGCCAAGGUCUUCGUCUAACGGAAUCGCGUUUAUACAGAUCAGAAAAUAGCGGCGAAUUUCUCUGACUAUACAGUCGCCAAAAGAUGCAGCGACUAUUUCAGUGCCGGACGUCGUCGUUUUAGCGAUCCGCAGUCGCUCACAUCCCGACUCUGCCCUCCGUCCCCCGAAGAACAUAAUCCGUUCUUCCGUACACGGGAGAAAUAAAUUUAUCGAAAUCUGAAAGAAACCGUUGGAGAGAGAAAAAAAAAAAAAAAAGCAAAAUCUAAACGAAAAAUUACAAAAUGCGGAACGGCGUACUGCAGCCCCAGCAAACGGCCGUGAUGCCACCUCCCCAUCUGAACGGAUCUGCACAGUUCAUCACGGGCGGCUACGUCGGCUACAAUUCCAGACAAUCGUGGGGACAGUUUCAACCCCCCGCAGCGCAAAACAGAAACGGUGUCAGACCCGCCUCUCAUCCUCCACCCCCACCCUCUAGAAGGGAAAGUCCGGGAAAGCCCCACGUAGGAAACCACAAAAUUCCGAACGGACGAUCUCAAACAUCGACGGGAACGUCCUCGACGAACAGCCCAAGGAAUUCCAUCGACAGAAACAACGCACCCUCGAAGGUUGAUCCGGAGCUGAUAUUUACGAAACAGGAACGUAUAGGAAAAGGAAGUUUCGGUGAAGUCUUCAAAGGUAUCGACAACAGAACGCAGCAGGUUGUUGCGAUAAAAAUAAUCGAUCUAGAAGAAGCCGAAGAUGAAAUCGAGGACAUACAACAGGAAAUCAUGGUGCUGUCGCAGUGCGACAGCCCGUUCGUCACCAAGUACUUCGGAUCUUAUCUCAAGGGCACGAAGUUAUGGAUUAUUAUGGAAUAUCUCGGCGGUGGUUCGGCCUUGGACUUGAUGAAGGCCGGAAGUUUCGAAGAAAUGCACAUCGCCGUUAUCCUACGUGAAGUUCUCAGGGGUCUCGACUACCUCCAUAGCGAACGCAAGCUGCAUCGUGAUAUUAAAGCCGCAAACGUUCUGCUCAGCGAAAUGGGAGAUGUGAAAUUAGCAGACUUUGGGGUCGCGGGGCAGCUGACCAAUACCACCAGCAAGAGAAACACCUUUGUGGGGACUCCAUUUUGGAUGGCUCCAGAAGUGAUCAAGCAGUCAGCCUACGAUUCGAAGGCGGACAUAUGGUCACUUGGAAUAACAGCCAUCGAACUGGCAAAGGGUGAACCGCCAAACAGUGAGCUACAUCCGAUGAGGGUACUUUUUCUCAUCCCUAAAAAUAAUCCACCUCAGUUAACGGGGAACUACACUAAACAAUUCAAGGAAUUCGUCGAGGCAUGCCUUAAUAAGGACCCUGAAAACAGGCCCACGGCAAAGGAGCUGCUCAAGUUUCAGUUUAUUAAAAAGGCAAAGAAAAACUCGUACUUGAUCGAUCUCAUCGAUAGAUAUAAGAAAUGGAAGUCACAGAGGAGCGAGGAGUCCGAAACUGAAAGUGAAAACUCUGAUUCUGAGGAGUCUAAACAAGAUAGUGACAUGGAUGAACCCUGGAUAAUGACGGUAAAAGGUCCACACAGCGUCAAAGGAUCAUCGGUGGUGCCGAAAUUGCCACCCGAUGAUUCGUUGACUUCAUUGACGUUAACACACACAGCGAAUCACAGAUCUUCUAAUCACAAUCAACCGUUAAAACCUCAUGCAAAUGGAGCAUCUAAAUCUCCUCCUAAAGACUCAAACUUGAAUCACUACAGAAGUGAUUCUAGAGACUCGCCACGUGAUAUACAGCCUAAACCUACUCCGUCCCGUCCACACGAGGCAGCCCCACCACCUCCGGUGGACAAUCGCAAAGAACCGAGUCGGGAUUCGAGUAAAGAUAGUCGAGAAAUUAGGGAGUCCAGAGAAUCCAGAGAGUCAAGCAGAGAGUCAACCCCUAGAGAUUCCAGACGUGACACUAGAGAACGCGAUAGAGAAAGAGAGCGAGACAGAGAUAGUGCACGAGAUAAGAGAAAUAGUAAACCAGAAGUUCCCGGUGUACCCCUUGUCGAUCACAGAGGUGGUGAAGAUAAACAAAGACCAAGAAGUACGCAAGAACUAAAACACCCCCGAAGUGCAACUCUAUCCGGAGUUAUCUUGCCGCUUCUUUCCGAGUUGCAACGCAAACAUCAGUACUCAGCGAGAGACAAUAACAGUGGUGGAGGAGGUAGUGGAGGCGGUAGAAAUGGAGGUGCCCUAGAAGAGCUGAGAGGAGCAUUUGAAUUAGCAGAACGAACGUCACCCGGAGUCAGCGAAGCUCUUGUUCGAGAACUUUUGAAAGCUUUGUUACCCGCUAAUCAUACGGAUGCCCGGCUCUCCAUGCUGAUGGAAAAAGUUACUAUAAGAGAUACGUAGGGAUGCGAGACAGCAAACAUUCGGACGAGAUUUUGAUCCGAAGACAUCUUAACAUUUUGAAACCGGGGCAGACAAAAGCUGUGUGAUCUCUUCCUGCCACAUCUAACAUCAGAUGAUUAAGUAGCAUGAUGAGAAUAGGAUGCGAUAUGUAUACAUUCAAUUAAAAGAGUGUUAGCACGUGGCCUGGACUAUAAUAGUAAAGAUACCCCUGUAUAUAUGUAUGUAGCACCAUAAGAUAGAGUUAUUCUUGUAAGUAAUCGAUGUUCAUUCAAAGUGGCUUUCGCAAGUCCCGUAUGGCAGAGAUUAAUCGAUUCUAAUGGUUUUUCGUUUCUCUUCUGAGUUUACUAAGAACAAGGUAUGAAAUUUUCGCAGUAUGAUAUCAAUUACUCGAAUUCAAUAAAUUAUGAUCAGUCAGCUUCGAAUACCCACGGCAUAUCUGCUGUUUAUUACGUGACCAGUUACGGACGUACAAUGUAGAUACUUCUAUAUUAAAGUGAGUUUUUAGUUCAAACUUGUCGCAAGAAGAAGAGUCAAUUAAUGAGGAGAUCGAAUGGGUAUCUUGUUUUCAAAUUUCUAUCUUCUAUAAUUAUACUGUGCUGAACGGGGCUAUGAAAACUUCAACGAGUAUCGACGAUAAUCCAUUUGUUUAUAAAGUAAUGUAUUUUAUAAUGAAUAGACAAAUUACUCGUAGUGUAACUUCACAGUGCAGUGCAAAUUGAGUUUGCUGAUAAAGAUAACAUGAAAUUAUUCAUUCAACAGUCUAGGUCUUAACGAUUGUAAGCAAAGUAAUAUUGCAACAUACUGUACAAACGAGAUGAUAUAAUAUACCUAGUAUGAUUACAAUAUUAAUAUUAGUCACAUUUGAUUAUAGCAAUCCCGUAAAACACAGUUGUUUCAAAUGCUGAGAUGAAAAAAGUUUUUAAAAAAGUAAUCAUCGCUAUUAAUUACUACGAUUGAAAACAAUGUACUUCAGAUCGUGAGUGUACGUAGAAUGGUGAAAAUAACAUCAGUUUUAGUUUAAACAUUACAUUAACAACUACGUUAAUUAUUCAUUAUGUUGUAUUGUUAAUUAUUAAUAUUCUUCUUGUUUCUCGUUGGGAUAGGUUUUUAAUUACUAUUACAUAUCGUUACGUAAUGCUGCCAUAGAUGUACAGGGUGUUGGUUGGGUCGAUUUGUGCCAGGAUAACAUACUGGUACCAAGAAGUAUUUUUCAAUGAUGCAUAGUUGUUUCUUCGCAAUUUUAAAACAUAUGCUAGUGAAAUAUGAAUAACAAAAUAUUUAUAAUUUAAUUUAUUUGUCAUGAUUAUGAAAUUUCAAUCCUUGAUUCGCAAUUAAUUUCUCAUUUUACUUUCACUUUGGUAUUGAAGUAUCGUGUUCGACGCUCGAUAACUUCUGGAAUUAACGGUCGCUUUUUUCUUUGUUUGUAAAGUUACACCCUGUCUGCUUUGUUUUUUCACGAUGGUACAAUCAAAACUUUUGAUCUAGCUGUGACAAUUCAUACAACAGGUGUGCCAUUUUACAAACAAGAUUCUAUCCAUUCGCGAUGUUCACGUUCACCGGAUUUUUUAACGGAAAACUACGUGUUACUACAUAGUCCGGCGUAUGUGACCUGAUAGUGGAACUGAAUGGCGAUCAAUUUGUAUUUGCGUCACUUAUUCUAAUACAGGUAUUAUUCAUCUAUGUAUACAAGUUUUCUUAUCUAGAAUUCUAUCCGCAGGAGUUUUAAUAGUAAGAUUCAAAGAGCGACGAUCUAAUUCGCUGUUCAGUUGUCACAAUUUAUAUGGAAAUGCCCUAUCCAGAUUUACUGUAAUCAUACGGUUCUACGAUAUCAAUGUGUGACAUUGAUACGUGUACAUGCAGAUUGUAAUUAUUACUAUUACCUAAGAGUAUGGAAAGAGAGUGUUGUAUAUCAGGGUGGGUAGCACGACUGGGUUUUUUCAUUACACAGGAAGAAUCUUCCAGUGUUCUCGAGAUUCCCCCCGAGAUCUCAAUGAAUUUUCGAGUACCUCUCAAAGACUGUGGUAUUCAACACUUUUUCUUUGUAUCAAACUUUUAGAUAUUAUUCAAAAUAUUCAUCUAUAACAAUACGAUAACAAUAAUAUCGACGUAGAAUAUAUUUUUUGUAUUUUAAUUCUACCCUGGCUGCGUUGGAAUGUAUUAUAUUGAUUGUAUGUGGCAUGCUAAGGGCGUGUACAAAUGAAUAUUGAAUAAAUAAAUAUUGACACUA
rnacentral:misc_RNA from 1 species